GCCCCGGAGUGAAGUGGAGUGGAGUGGAUAGGGGUAGACUUUUCACACGGGGUCAAAUUAUUACAGGAUAUCUGCACCCCCCAUUCCGAAUCACUCGGGCGCAUCGGUUACUUCAGCAGGUUCUCUGCAUCACGGACCCUUUUAAGGCUCAGGAAUUUAACAUGGAAAUUAUUGGCCAUAAUGGUUGGUGACACUAUCAAACUCAUAGUCACUGUAUAACGAUGUGCGUCCUGAAAACAGGAAUAAUAAUAAUGUCCUGGUGGAUAUUUAGAGCUAAAAGAAGUGGAAAGAGUUCUUUCAGUUUACCCUUCACCUGCUACUUCGGGGUUAAGUGAUUAAAUAAUUCCACAAAAAAAAAAAUAAAGAAACACUCUUAAUCUUC